AAACUGCGAUACGUAGUGCGAAUUGCAGGAUACCGUGAGUCAUCGAAUUUUUGAACGCAACUGGCGCGGUGGUGUGAGAGCCACUGCAUGUUUCUUUGUGUGUCUUUUUUAUACAAGUGUUUUCUUUUUCACAUGUGAGAAAGGAAGCGAUCGCUGUCCCUGUCUUUCCCAAAGACUUGGAUGAAAACCAGCUCAUUUUUUAGAGAGCGCCAAAUGGGUCGUCGCCACUCCAAUGGCGUCCCCAUAACACUUGGCGAGCACUCUCGACACUCCAAAAAGACCACAAAUGAAACAAGAGCACCCGCUGGAUUUAA
rnacentral:misc_RNA from 1 species